GAGGGUGUAGCUCAGUGGUAGAGCGCAUGCAUGCAUGAGGUCCUGGGUUCAACCCCCUGCACCUCCA
rnacentral:tRNA from 1 species